GAUGAACGCUGGCGGCGUGCCUAAUACAUGCAAGUCGAGCGAACGGACGAGAAGCUUGCUUCUCUGAUGUUAGCGGCGGACGGGUGAGUAACACGUGGAUAACCUACCUAUAAGACUGGGAUAACUUUGGGAAACCGGAGCUAAUACCGGAUAAUAUUUUGAACCGCAUGGUUCAAAAGUGAAAGACGGUCUUGCUGUCACUUAUAGAUGGAUCCGCGCUGCAUUAGCUAGUUGGUAAGGUAACGGCUUACCAAGGCAACGAUGCAUAGCCGACCUGAGAGGGUGAUCGGCCACACUGGAACUGAGACACGGUCCAGACUCCUACGGGAGGCAGCAGUAGGGAAUCUUCCGCAAUGGGCGAAAGCCUGACGGAGCAACGCCGCGUGAGUGAUGAAGGUCUUCGGACCGUAAAACUCUGUUAUUAGGGAAGAACAUAUGUGUAAGUAACUGUGCACAUCUUGACGGUACCUAAUCAGAAAGCCACGGCUAACUACGUG
rnacentral:rRNA from 1 species